rnacentral:tRNA from 3 species
ACGGGUGUAGCUCAAUUGGUAGAGUAGUGGUCUCCAAAACCAUUGGUUGUGGGUUCGAUUCCUACCACCCGUG